AUUGAACGCUGGCGGCAGGCCUAACACAUGCAAGUCGAACGGUAACAGGAAGCAGCUUGCUGCUUUGCUGACGAGUGGCGGACGGGUGAGUAAUGUCUGGGAAACUGCCCGAUGGAGGGGGAUAACUACUGGAAACGGUAGCUAAUACCGCAUAACGUCGCAAGACCAAAGAGGGGGGACCUUCGGGCCUCUUGCCAUCGGAUGUGCCCAGAUGGGAUUAGCUAGUAGGUGGGGUAACGGCUCACCUAGGCGACGAUCCCUAGCUGGUCUGAGAGGAUGACCAGCCACACUGGAACUGAGACACGGUCCAGACUCCUACGGGAGGCAGCAGUGGGGAAUAUUGCACAAAUGGGCGCAAGCCUGAUGCAGCCAUGCCGCGUGU
rnacentral:rRNA from 1 species